UUAAAUUAGUAAGGGCGCAUGGCGGAUGCCUUGGCACUAGAAGCUGAUGAAGGACGUGACGAACAACGAUAUGCUUCGGGGAGCUGUAAGUAUGCUUUGAUCCGGAGAUUUCCGAAUGGGGGAACCUACUAGUAGUAAUGUACUAGUGUCAUAUAAUGAAUACAUAGUUAUAUGGACAGCAACCCGGUGAACUGAAACAUCUAAGUAACCGGAGGAACAGAAAGAAAAAUCGAUUCUCUUAGUAGUGGCGAGCGAACAGGGAAUAGCCCAAACCUGAAUUUAUUCAGGGGUUGUAGGACUUCUGUAUAAGAGUUACAAAUUCCAGUUAUAGUCGAAAUAGUUGGGAAGCUAUAUCGUAGAAGGUGAAAAUCCUGUAGGCGAAAUAACUAGAACUCUUUGAAGUAUCCUGAGUAGGACGGGGCACGUGUAAUCCUGUCUGAAUCUACGGGGACCAUCCCGUAAGGCUAAAUACUCUCUAGUGACCGAUAGUGAACAAGUACCGUGAGGGAAAGGUGAAAAGAACCCCGGGAGGGGAGUGAAAUAGAAUACUGAAACCAUGUGCUUACAAGAAGUCAAAGCCCGUUAAUGGGUGAUGGCGUGCCUUUUGCAGAAUGAACCGGCGAGUUAAUGUUGCAUGCAAGGUUAAGUAGAAGAUACGGAGCCGAAGCGAAAGCGAGUCUUAAUAGGGCGUUUGAGUAUGUAGUAUUAGACCCGAAACCGAGUGAUCUAGCCAUGAGCAGGUUGAAGUUUGGGUAAAACCAAAUGGAGGACCGAACCGACGUACCCGGAAACGUGCGCGGAUGACUUGUGGCUAGCGGUGAAAUUCCAAUCGAACUCGGAUAUAGCUGGUUCUCCCCGAAAUAGGUUUAGGCCUAGCCUUGAAUUAUUUCAUCCUGGAGGUAGAGCACUGAAUGUGGAAUGGCCGCGUCUAGCGGUACUGACUGCAAUCAACCUCCGAAUGCCAGGAAUUGUAGAUUCAGGAGUCAGUGUAUGAGGUGAUAACGUCCAUACGCGAGAGGAAAACAAUCCAGACCAUCAACUAAGGUCCCUAAAUAUAUGUUAAGUGGGAAAGGAUGUGGAGACGCACGAACAGCUAGGAGGUUGGCUUAGAAGCAGCCAUCCUUUAAAGAGUGCGUAAUAGCUCACUAGUCGAGUAUCUCUGCGCCGAAAAUGUACCGGGGCUAAACAUAUUACCGAAGUUAUGGAUUUAUAAUUUAUUAUAAAUGGUAGGGGAGCGUUCUAAGGGCGCUGAAGGUAGAUCGUGAGGACUACUGGAGCGCUUAGAAGUGAGAAUGCCGGUGUGAGUAACGUAAGGUAGGUGAGAAUCCUACCCACUAUUUGACCAAGGUUUCCAGGGUCAAGUUCGUCUUCCCUGGGUUAGUCGGGACCUAAGGCGAGGCUGAAAAGCGUAGUCGAUGGACAACAGGUUUAUAUUCCUGUACUGCUUAUAGGACUGAUGGAGUGACGGAGAAAGCUAGAAAGAGCCAGUUAUUGGAUUCUGGUCUAAGCGUUUAGGUUGAUGCACAGGAAAAUCCGUGAUAUCGAUAAGACUGAAGCGUGAUGGCGACGUGGUCUACGGACCGCUAAGUCUUUUGAAGCUAUGCUUCCAAGAAAAACUUCUAAAGAUAUGUUAUAAGUACCCGUACCUAGAACCAACACAGGUGGUCAAGGAGAGAAUCCUAAGGUGAGCGAGAGAACUAUGGUUAAGGAACUCGGCAAAAUUACCCCGUAACUUCGGAAUAAGGGGAGGUUUCUUCGGAAACCCGCAGUGAAUAGGUCCAGGCAACUGUUUACCAAAAACACAGGUCUCUGCUAAAGCGUAAGCUGAUGUAUAGGGGCUGACGCCUGCCCAGUGCUGGAAGGUUAAGAUGAUUUGUUAGGUGGACGAAAGUCGAUAACACCGAAGCUUUGAUUUGAAGCCCCAGUGAACGGCGGCGAUAACUAUAAUCGUCCAAAGGUAGCGAAAUUCCUUGUCAGGUAAGUUCUGACCCGCACGAAAGGCGUAAUGAUCUGGACGCUGUCUCAACCAUAGACUCGGUGAAAUCUUAAUACCUGUGAAAAUGCAGGUUACCCGCGACAGGACGGAAAGACCCC
rnacentral:rRNA from 1 species